CACGCAGGCGGUCCGUUAAGUCCUUUGUGAAAGCCCGGGGCUCAACUCCGGAAUUGCAUCGGAUACUGGCGGACUGGAGAUCGGUAGAGGCUAGCGGAAUUCCUGGUGUAGCGGUGGAAUGCGUAGAUAUCAGGAAGAACACCUGUGGCGAAGGCGGCUAGCUGGGCCGAAUCUGACGCUCAUGUGCGAAAGCGUGGGGAGCAAACA
rnacentral:rRNA from 1 species